rnacentral:sRNA from 1 species
AUUUGAUGUUCAUUACAAGAGACUAUAUAUAUAUGAACCUAGUUGCUUAGAUCUAAUUAAAUGAGCUUUGGAAAAUAAAUUACAUAGGACACUUGGGCUUUUCGGAUGAUUUAUAAUCUUGGCCUUAUUAUGAAUGCUCUAAUAAAACAAGAAGAAAUGGAUUCUCUGGUCGCUUGGACUUGUGUUAGUGGUUUAUUAGCAAAGAGAAAGUGUCCAACAACAGAAGUGCAACAGAAGUGCAGAGUCUUUCCGAAAAAUCAGAUCAUAGAACAAUGCUUUUGAAGAGAUGGUUAUUAGGUGGACAAGACUCUACAUUAUAUAUUAUAAUAUUCAGAUUAUCUUUAUACUAUUAACCACUCCAUAAUGUUACAAACAACCAAUCUUAAUGUAAAAAGUGAAAAACUAAAUGAGAAGCAAUAUCAGAUAUUAUAGAGCUAAUAAGAUUCUUCUUUUUCCUCUCUAACUCUCUUUCUUCAAGACCGAUCUCACCCAAUGAUAAGUGAAAUGGGGCGACGAUAAGACUUCUUCCUCUCAAUAUUUACUCUAAUGACUUCAGCAUCCUUUUGACUUCAGAUGUUUAUAAGGUGGACAAGAGUCAGCACUAAACAGUAUGUAGUAUAAUAUUUGACGUUCAAACUAUCUUUAUACUACUAAUCACUCUACAGUGUUAGAAAUAGACAAUUUUAAUGUAAAACGUGGAAAUCAUCGAUUAGGAAAAACAAAUGUUUUCAAUUAUGGUUGGACUGUUGAGGGUUUCAAUUAUAUUGACCACCAGAGCUAACCAAAUAUCAUUUUCUGAUUGACUUCCCUCAGAAUAUCUUAUACUGAUUCCUGAAUAUCUUUUUAAAAGGGCUUUUCGGAUGUCAUCUUUAAUACCAGAAAUAGACUUAGGAUUCUUUGACCAAAGAGAAAUAGUUCAGAUGUGUAUGCUAUAGAUUUUUUUGCACAAACUCUGAACCUAUCUUUCAAUCUAAUAGGUUAUGAUGGAGGUAGAUCAUUUUAUAAA